GGACAUGAAGGUGAUUUGGCUGUAGCAACUGUCACCUCAUUAAUCACCCGGGUCAUUUAGUUGACCUGGCUGCCUAGGUGGCUGUCUCCUUCCUCCCUCCCCUCUCCAUGUGUGUCCCUCCUGAAGCUGUGCUCUCAGGGCAAGCGGACAACCUACCUCAAUAGAGGAGCACCAUUCUUCCACCAAGGGUAUGCAAGUGGCUGUGCUCCUCUGCUAGAGCCUCCAAACAAGCUUUCAUUCUCAACCAAGUCACAUCUAAAGAGAAAAACACGGGCUGGAGAGAUGGCUUAGCGGUUAAGCACUUG
rnacentral:snRNA from 1 species